UACGUAGGGACCAAGCGUUGUCCGGAAUCAUUGGGCGUAAAGAGCGUGUAGGCGGCUUGUUAAGUCUUGCGUGAAAUCUCGGGGCUCAACCCCGAGCGGUCGUGAGAAACUGGCAGGCUAGAGUGCGGGAGAGGAGAGUGGAAUUCCUGGUGUAGCGGUGAAAUGCGCAGAUAUCAGGAGGAACACCGAUGGCGAAGGCAGCUCGCUGGGACGGUACUGACGCUGAGGCGCGAAAGCGUGGGGAGCAAACCGG
rnacentral:rRNA from 1 species